AGUGAACGCUGGCGGUAGGCCUAACACAUGCAAGUCGAACGGCAGCACAGUAAGAGCUUGCUCUUACGGGUGGCGAGUGGCGGACGGGUGAGGAAUACAUCGGAAUCUACUUUUUCGUGGGGGAUAACGUAGGGAAACUUACGCUAAUACCGCAUACGAUCUACGGGUGAAAGCAGGGGAUCUUCGGACCUUUCGCGAUUGAAUGAGCCGAUGUCGGAUUAGCUAGUUGGCGGGGUAAAGGCCCACCAAGGCGACGAUCCGUAGCUGGUCUGAGAGGAUGAUCAGCCACACUGGAACUGAGACACGGUCCAGACUCCGACGGGAGGCAGCAGUGGGGAAUAUUGGACAAUGGGCGCAAGCCGGAUCCAGCCAUACCGCGUGGGUGAAGAAGGCCUUCGGGUUUUAAAGCCCUUUUGUUGGGAAAGAAAAGCAGCAGGUUAAUACCCCGCUGUUCUGACGGUACCCAAAGAAUAAGCACCGGCUAACUUCGUG
rnacentral:rRNA from 1 species